AAAAUAAGAAAAAGUCUUUUAUGUUUAUCCACAUACCAUAUCUCUUCAUUUCUCUUCAUCUCUCUAUGUCCAUCUAUAUUUCCAUCUGGUAUCAUUUUUCUUCUGUCUGAAGGACUUCCUGUAACAUUUUUGAGAUGAAGAUCUGCUGUUUUAAAACCUAAACGAAAUACAUGGAACAGCUAUCUGAGGACUCUGAAAAGUCAUAUCAGCAGGAACAUUGGAAAAGAAGACAAGAAUCUGGUGUACCACUGAUCCAGUGCUGUGUAAACUUUGUGAAGCAGAUAAGACAUCCCCUACUUUAUGGAUGAGGAAAAGGAGAAGGCUGCGCAGUGACGCCCCAGUCUGAAUGGGGCCUGCAUGCCAUCCUACCAAGGCCUCUCUCAUCACCCAGGCCUUGGGCUCCUUAUCCAUCAUCUCAUUGAACAGCAGCAGUGGGAGGGCUCAUCACCUAUAGGGGAGCAACCAAGAGCUCAACUGAAUCUCUGAGGAUGCUGCUAAGCACUGGAAUUUUUCCGAAGCUCCCAGGACAUUCUGACAUGCAGCCAGAGUUGAUGGCCCUCGCCGUGGAUGGUAAGUGACAUCAUGGAAGAAGAUGAGCUCCGCAGAGCGUGGGGUGGGACAUGGGAGAGGAGAGGGUUUGGGAGUAAGCUUCAAGGAGCUCCAACUUUAAAAGAUGGAAAAGGAACCGAUGAAUGCAUAAAUAAGUGGAACAGCAAACCAAUAUUUCUCUCUCCCUGAAAUGAAUAAAUAAAAAUUAAAGGGGGAAAAAAGGAGAUGGAAAAUGGAGAGUAGUGAGAAGCUAGGAGUAGCUGGGGGAGUACCUGAAGAGAGAGGUGGAAAUCAGGAGAACGGGUCAUAGAAGAAAAGGAAAGUGGAUUCACAGAGUAGAAAGUUGAAAUUAGUGUCAAAUGCUGUGGCUACAUGCAAUAAAGGGGAAAAUACAAAGGAUCCAUUGGAUUUACUGACAAAACAGUCAGCGGGAAUGUAGAGGGAGCUGUUUUGAUGGAAUCGGGAUGACAGAAGGCAGACUGGAGGGGACUACGGAAAAAGUGGGACUGGAAACAGUGAACUCUUAAAAAAAACCACUUUGCUUUGAAGUGGAGGAAAGUGUGGAGUUAAGAAAGGGUUGGGGAUUUUCAGGCAGGGAGUGGUUUAUGCAUGUUUGCUGAUAGAAAGAAGUCCAAAUGGAACAGAAUAAAGUAUAGAAACAAAAGUUUCACAAGCAGUCACUCAAUUAAUGGCAAAGACAUGGCUGCAAUUCUAUGCAGCACAUGCUGCUAGAGUGUGUGUGUGUGUGUGUGUGUGUGUGUGAAAUAACCUUGAUCCCUACCUCACACCACACACAAAUGUUACUUCAAGAUGCAUUAUAAACUUAAAUAUGAAAGCUAAAACUAUGAAGAUAUUGUAGGAGAAUAUCUUUAUAAAUUAGGGGCCAGGCAAAAAAUUUAUGUUUAAAAACAACAUACCACUAAAGGUAAAAUGAAUCUAUGGUGAUACAAAUCAUAUUGGGGCCAGGGAGAGGGACUGAGAAAGAACUCUUGGACGUGGACAUGUGUG